rnacentral:misc_RNA from 1 species
UCGAGCGUCAUUUAAACCUUCAAGCUAUGCUUGGUGUUGGGUGUUUGUUCUGCCUCAGUGCAUGGACUCGCCUCAAAUUCAUUGGCAGCCGGUAUGAUGGCUUCGUGCGCAGCACAUUGCUAGCGACUCCAUCAGACCCCCUUCCACAAGCCCUUUUUUAGUUUGACCUCGGAUCAGGUAGGGAUACCCGCUGAACUUAA